AGUGAACGCUGGCGGUAGGCCUAACACAUGCAAGUCGAACGGCAGCACAGUAAGAGCUUGCUCUUACGGGUGGCGAGUGGCGGACGGGUGAGGAAUACAUCGGAAUCUACUUUUUCGUGGGGGAUAACGUAGGGAAACUUACGCUAAUACCGCAUACGACCUACGGGUGAAAGCAGGGGAUCUUCGCACCUUGCGCGAUUGAAUGAGCCGAUGUCGGAUUAGCUAGUUGGCGGGGUAAAGGCCCACCAAGGCGACGAUCCGUAGCUGGUCUGAGAGGAUGGUCAGCCACACUGGAACUGAGACACGGUCCAGACUCCUACGGGAGGGAGCAGUGGGGAAUAUUGGACAAUGGGCGCAAGCCUGAUCCAGCCAUACCGCGUGGGUGAAGAAGGCCUUCGGGUUGUAAAGCCCUUUUGUUGGGAAAGAAAAGCAGCAGGUUAAUACCCCGCUGUUCUGACGGUACCCAAAGAAUAAGCACCGGCUAACUUCGUG
rnacentral:rRNA from 1 species